AGAGACUCAUUCAGAGAGCAAGACUCUGGUCUCUGCCCUGCUUCAGCACCCAAAUCUUUAGGGAGCUGGCUGGUGGGCUGCCAGGCAGUUAGGCCUAUGGAGAGCUGCUGUCAGUCUCUCUAGGAGGCCAUGGUUUCCUGCAUGUGGGGGAGAGCCCCAUCCCCCAGACUCUGGAGUGAGUUUAAUUUCCCAAGGCAAGUCUGCCUGAUUGUCCUCUCCUUUCCUUACCUUCAGCACCAAGAAGUUUCCGGUCCCGGUACAGAUCAGUGAGGAAGAGGCUAUUGACAAGUGUGGAUUUGCCCAGGCCAGACUCUCCUGAGAGGAGAGAGGACAGAGGCACCAAAUCAGAAGGGACCCUUCUCUGGGCUGUCUGAUAGUCUGCAGAGACACAGCUGCUUCCGUGCUCUAGGAGAGAGGGACUCCUUGGAGAUCUGAUCUCACUAGUAGUCGUAAUUCUUUGGAUGGGCUCAGUUUGUACUGCUUCAUCCUUUGGAAAUUCUCAGGACUCAUCCAGAGAAGGAAUCAGCCAGAAGAUCCUAUGAAGACAAGAUCAAACCAAACACGCUGUGUUCGCCCCAGUUUUAAUAAGAAAUCUGACUGAAAACAAAUGGUUGAAUGUGCUGCUAACAGAGAGGGCCAAACGAUGAUGUCUAUUGUGGCAGCUGAACAAAGUGAGACUUACAGAACUGGAACUGCUGCCCUGACAGCAACUGAAGCAGAAAGAGAAGAAAGGAGCUUACAACCAGGACACUCAAACUCAGGCCAGGAGUCCGUCUAUGAUCCAAUUCCAAUCAGUCUGACAAGUCACUCUGAUCCAGCACGAUUAUCCUAUGCACAUGUUUUUUAAAGAACAAAAAAGGAAGUUUCGAGUUGGUAUGUGUGUUUUUUAAAGACACAAACCACAUCCUCUUUCUAUUCAAUUAAAUUCAAGGGAAAGGAAUUUUGGUCUUUAUAAUCAAGGGCGAUUAUAACCAACAGUGUGUCAUGGAAAUGCAAAAUGACUACAGAGCAAUUGACAGCAGCAUCUUCUGUAUUCUCUCCAUAUUAAACCUGUUCUUUUUUUUUUUUUGAGACGGAGUCUUGCUCUUAUCCCCCAGGUGGAGUGCAAUGGCGCGACCUCGGCUCACUGCAACCUCUGCCUUCCGGGUUUAAGCGAUUGUCCUGCCUCAGCCUCCUGAGUAGCUGGGAUUACAGGUGCCUGCCACCAUGCCCGGCUAAUUUUUGUAUUUUUAGUAGAGACGGGGUUUCACCAUGUUGGCCAGGCUGGUCUCGAACUCCUGACCUCAGGUGAUCUGCCCGCCUCGGCCUCCCAAAGUGCUGGGAUUACAAGUAUGAGCCACCGUGCCUGGCCUAAAACUGUUCUUAUGCUGACUCUAUCACUUAUUGAAUCAAAGUUGGCAUUAAUUUCACUUUAUAGUUUAAUUAACUAUAAACACUAACAUUUUAAAAAUUAAGCAACUUUGUCUAAAUUGGAGUCUUUGUCAUUAAUGUGUAUUUAGACACUGGUAAAUGUUUUUAAGUCUGCUUCUGUUGUCUAUAAACAUGAC
rnacentral:lncRNA from 1 species